UUGUAUUAAUUUCAUUUUCGUUGUGUAAAAUAUAGAAUUAUGAUCGUCACAAAUAUGACACUGGUAGCGAACGUGUUAAGUGCACGGUACAUGUAAUGUUAAUCGCUUGGGAAUGUCUUUUUUUAGUAGCACCGAUACAAUUUUAGAUUAUCCCUACCUGUGUGCUCCCAACGAGAAAAGAUUAAAGCGCAGCGGCACGUAUAUUUUCGUCCGUGCCCGACCGAUAAGUUAUAUCGUCACUGGGAUCGGCAGCUCGCUCGAAACUCGGAACACAUGGCGCAUUUGUGGAUCAAAGUGCCGCUACUUAACUGUAUCCGCAACCAUCCUCUCCUCGCUACGAAGAUAAGAUUGCACGUGCCUGUGUAUUGGUCAUGUUAUUAGACGUAUCGCGAAUACGUCUCGCAGCGGCGCGUUCGUGCGGGUUCGAGUUUCUUUGUCUCUUCUUUCCUGUUCCUUUUCCUCCUCUCCCUCUGCACCUCUCCUCAGUCCCCCCACAACGCUCCUUUCUCCGCAAGUCCACACGGUUAAGGGCGAAAUGUCAUUGUCAGUUAUGCCAGCGAUCCGCGAGACUUUCGGCCAGUCGUGGCGUACGGUUAAUUCUUAUUUUAGACACAGACGUGUUGCACACGAGUUGCGCGUUCUCGGCUCGCCGCCUCGGGAACGAACGAAUUAUUCAACUAUGUACUUAUGUGCAUCCUAAAGAAUCCGUUGGAAAUGUAGGACAAACUGCAGUUCGUGUGACGAGAAAAGUUUCAGGUAGCAACCAUCCCAUGAAAUGUGAACAGCAACAAGGUCAGUGCUCUGCUCUGAUUCGCAUUACGUGCGGCCAUGCGCCUUCCUGCUCUUGGCCUGAUGGUUCUCUGCGAUUCAGUCAUUCGCUGAGAGGGGCAGCACCGAAUCAAGGGUUAUGUGUGUAUUCUUUUCAGCAGGAUCGAAGUGAAUAAAAUGGAUUAGAUUGAACGGAAAAUAGAAUGAAGAUAUUGAAUAUAAUAAGAUUGUAAAGGUAAUAUAUUAAAAAUGAAAACGAUCAUUUAAUUUCAAAAAACAAUUUCAGCAAAGAUAACAUUCCACAGAAUGAAGGCAAAAUGGCUGUGGCAGAAAACAACGUGCUGUGACGUCUAAUAUUUUGCAAUCUCAUAGUGACUGAGAAAAAGAUUAAUUUUCUUGGGGUAAUUAAAUCCGCUUGAAAUCUUUACAAAUGAAAAUACGAACGAUAAAGCUCCUGUAAAAACUGUAUCGUUUUUUCUGAAUCAUCGUGUGUGGAAAUACCACUCAUCUUACAUGUGCAUUCAUGAGUCAUUGUAGAAGGAUAACAUUUUUAUUCUAAUAUUCUACACUGAUCCGCUCCUUUAUGAGACUCGAGCGACCAUAAAUAUGAAAGUCCUGUUUGGAUGUCAAUGUUAUCAGCGACGUGCCAUCCGAUUUCUUUUUCUCUUUUAAUAUUUCUGAACCGGUUAUAUAAACCUCAUCCGGAAGAAAUGUAUAUUGCUUAUCAUUGAUAAAGAUAAACUGCAAACGUAUAAGUGUAUCUAUGUUUUCAUUCAGUACUUGCACUAGAACUGCCUCUGAUAUUUUUCCAUUUUCAAAUUUAUC